CCUACGGGAGGCUGCAGUGGGGAAUAUUGCACAAUGGGCGAAAGCCUGAUGCAGCAACGCCGCGUGAAGGAAGAAGGGUUUCGGCUCGUAAACUUCUAUCAACAGGGACGAAAGAAAUGACGGUACCUGAAUAAGAAGCCCCGGCUAACUACGUGCCAGCAGCCGCGGUAAUACGUAGGGGGCAAGCGUUAUACGGAAUUACUGGGUGCAAAGGGCGAGUAGGCGGCAUGGUAAGCCAGAUGUGAAAGCCUUGGGAUUAAACGGAGGAUUGCAUUUGAAACUAUCAAGCUAGAGUACAGGAGAGGAAAGCGGAAUUCCUGGUGUAGCGGUGAAAUGCGUAGAUAUUUGGAAGAACACCAGUGGCGAAGGCGGCUUUCUGGACUGAAACUGACGCUGAGGAGCGAAAGCGUGGGGAGCGAACAGGAUUAGAUACCCUUGUAGUC
rnacentral:rRNA from 1 species